UGACCUCGUGAUCCGCCCGCCUUGGCCUCCCAAAGGACCUUGAGAUUCUUAAGGGCAGGGACUGUAUCUUGCCCAUCUGAGUAGCUAUAAGGCCAAGCACAGUGCUGGGCAGAGUAGGGGCUUCCUACACAGUUAGAGAAUGAGAAUAAAAACUCACAGGACAUUAGCCGCUUUGAAAUUCACAUUAUUCUAUUUACACAGCCUUGUCUUUUACCUUGGCUCAAGCUAUUGCCCUCCUUGGACAUGAUCUCCCUUUCCAAGGUAACACCCUCCUUAGGACGCCAGCUCACAGUGACCCCUAGCACCUUUGGUGCCCUGCUGCCUUCCUUAUCUGCACCAUCCAUUAGUACUUUGCAUCAAGUGAUUGUAUUAUUAUUUGUCUUUGAUGAAAAUGUGUCUUUCAUUCAUUUAUUCACCCAUUUAAUAGCAACGUAUGUGAUGCAGGCACUAAAACUUAUUUUCUCUUUCUUUUCAAGCGCUGUUUCUAGGACCAUUGGAAAUUUGAAAGUCUAGGAGCAGAGCAAUUUGAUUUCGUGGAAAAUCCUAAGAUGGUGUUCAGGCCAUCACCGUCUAAACCUUCGAGUCGGGACAUAUUCACAUGUAAGUGUUGGGAUAAAAAGAAGAAUCAACACAAAAGGAUGGAAAGUCUAGUUCCUCCAAAGCUCAGAAGAGUGUGAAGGUGUUUUGUGGAAGAUUUAUCCUUUUUUGAUGAAGGCAGCAAAAUCCUCUGCACAGGUACACAUCAUUACUGGGUGUGAGUGUGGUGACUUAAAGAAAUCAGCAUCCCAAGUCACCUGGCAUGGUUUUCUCACUGUAUGACAGAAGUGAAUGCUGCAAAGCUGAAAAGGGCAGAAUUGAAGAAAAUGCCAGAGGGUCCAGAGAGCCCCAUCUACUUUAAUAAUUUGCCCAGAGAUUGCCCAGAUUUUUGAUCUGCUAUAUAUACAUACACAUGGAUAUGGAUAUAUAUCUAUCGCUCAAUCAAUCUAUCUGUAUUGUGCGAGGAAAAUAUUGAUAAUUUAUUUUUGGCAGAGACUCACCCACAAUGUCCUGCACAGAAUCAGUUUUCUUCUUGGCGGCAGAUCUUGUGCCUCAUUUCCAUUUAGAAAUUCUUUGACUUUUACUUUCUUUGCAUUUUCUGUUAACCGGCUGCCACCCAAGAUUGGAUGAAACCCUCUGCCCCCUGUUUAAAAAGAAAAAAAAGAAAAGAAAAAAAAAAACACCACAUACAACAUAACCCUCUAAUAAGUAUAUUCACAACUUCUAUGCAAGACGCUUAAGAAAA